AAAAUAAAAAAAAAUUAAAAGGGCUUGGGAUGUGGAUUAGUGGUAAACUGCCCCUGGGUUCAAUUCCCAGUAUCAAAACCAAAACAACAACAACAAAAUAAAACCAUGAACUGUCUGUCUGACUCUAGCACCUAUACCCUCAGCACUACACCGUACUGCUCUUUAGAGGCUCUGUAUCAAAUGGUUAAGGUUGUAACCUCUGGAGCCUUGCUCCUUUAGUGUGAAUUUCUGAUUCUAUGUGUGACCUUGGGUGAGUCACUUAAUCUCUCUGCAUUUUUUUCUCCAUCUGUGCAAUGGGAUAACAACACCAAAAUUUUGCUGUAAAAUUUCAUACAGCCACCCACAUACCACUUAGAAUACUCCCCAGCAUUUCCAGUCUUUGUUUUAACUAUAAAUUCAAAAUUACUCAAAUAUGUAAGUAUUUCAUGCCUGCACAGUUAUUUUCUGCCCCUGAACUUUUGCAGUUUGUUUUUGACAUUGCCUGAAGGAGCUAUAAAUUUAGAUCUUUAAUAUUAUUUUCAAGAAAGGUUAUAUUUGCAGUUACACUGACGGUCUGAAGAAAAGAAAACUUCCUCCGUGCAUCUUAGAGGUUGUGUCCCAUUAUUGCCCUCCCCCCAGGCACUAUGAAUUAAAUUAUAUCAAUUUUAUGAAUUCCAAAAUUGUAUCGUGAAUGGUACAAGCAUAUUCUAUUCCAUUAUUUGGGAGGUAGAAGUAUUGAUUGCUUAUAUGCAAAUAUCUCAAGUGAACAGGAAUUUUUAUAACCUUGCUUUGCCUUUCUUCAUUUUUAUGCCUGGAGCCUGGGAAAUGGAUGGGACCUGGGUUUCUCCUGAUCUCCCAGAACCCUGAUCUAUUCCAAGAUACCAGGAUUGGAAGAAGCUAAGUCCCAGAAGUCCCUCUGGGGGACUGAAGUGUGGAUAAGAGGUCUGCCAUUGUGGGAUGGCCCACAGGGGCAGCAGAGCAUGACUGGACACAAGUCUUGAAGGUGGUGUGACCUGGUUCGUCGCUGGAGACUUCACAUUGACUCUCCUGGGUUCCAGUAAAUGACAGGGAAGCAGCACUGCGUCUGUCCUUCAGUACUACUGUCAUCCGCAGAUGGAGUGAGUGCUCUCUAACGCUUGGUAAAGCUGCUAAUUCACCAAGUGGUCAGCAGAAACAGAGGCUGGGAACGGUGACUGCAUACACAGUGUGUCUGGCUCUCUUCGUAACACCCCCCUCGGCAGAGACAGCUGGGGAAAGGCCACCCAGCGUUUAAGGUGAUUUAAGAGACAUUCACAGAGGGCUUGAAAGACAUCUCACACCCACGGGGGGAAAUCCUUGGCAAAAGAAGGACACAUACAUGGCUAUCAGAAAAUGUUUCUGAGAACAUGGAAUUCUUAAAAUGACUUCUCAUGGAUGAAUAAAGAGAAUAUUUAAGGAUCUUCUUUCACAUCCCGCUCCUCCUCACCCAUGUCCUGCCUCAUGCAGAGUGUGCUGUUGGGCACUGUUUGAAGUAUCCUCCGAGAGAGAGGAGCAGGUCACAGAGACCCGCAAGAGCAGAGCUCAGUCCUCAGACCUCAGUGCGCUCAGCAGGCCCUGGGCCUGUGGUGAUAGAUCCAGGCCAGGGCUCGGCGUUCUGGUGUGCACUUGGAGAAGCAAGAGAGUAUAGCAUUUAUUCUGGAAAAAGCUACACCUGCUUAUGCAGCAGGAGGAGCAGCGGGAGGAGGGGGCAACAGAGGAGUUGCCUGCUUGUCCCAAGUCCCAAGUGACAGUGAGCCUGAGCUAGGCCUGGCUGACUCCUUGGCUCCUAGGCCAGUGCUCAAGUCAGUUCUGCUGAUUCCCUCUGUUCCGAGUGGACAGAGCCACAGAUGGACUAUCCCUUCCCCAUCACAACUAGAGGAUUUUCCCAGUGAUAGAAAUCCUCACUUCCUGCUCAUCUUACCUAAUGAGCCCUUGCCUUCCUGGAAAGCCACCAUGCGAUGCCAGGGUCCUGAGACAACCCCACACAGUGAUCAUAAAUCCAGGGUUGGACCCUCUAACCCUCUAACUCAAGGCCCAUUUCUGGAAGCUUCUACCUUGAGGGCCCCUUCUUGCAGCUCAGUCUUGAAUCCACAACCUCACUGGUAGGCUGGCCAAUGUCCUGACUUCCUGCUGUGUGGACAGCAGAGCUAUUUACCUAUUUCCUGGUUUUGCAAGGAGAAAGGGAGGGAGACAGGGAGAGAGAGGAUAAUGGAGAAAGAAGAGAGGAAGAAAGAGGGACCCUCAUGUCUUGGCCUUUCUCAAUCUGCCCUUGUGCUCUUCCGCCCAAGAAUACAAGCAUCUCGAAGAUGCUGCAUGUACAGUAGGAAAUGCAAGAGAACAGAACAGAGUUUCAGCUCAGACUGGUCAAUAUUUUUUAAAGUCAGUAAGAGAAGGGGCCCCAAGGAUUUUUUUUUUUUUUUGCAGGGCGGGGGUGGCUUAGUCUCAGUUCACUUUUGGACGGUUGCAGCUGGAAGCAAAAUCUGUUUUUAGAGCAGCAAACGAACCUGUCAUCCUGGUGGAAGUGAACACGGGAAGCCAGGUCGGUGGGUCUCUGCUCUGCGGGAACUGGCCACAGAUGCGCCUUCUUCCUCCUUCGAGGAAGGGAUUGUGGGCAGGCCCUGGGGGUGGGGGGUGUUUCUCACGUCCAAAGCUCUAGGAGUAGUUGAGUUUUUGACUCUCUGUCAGCUCUCCUAAGAGACUAGAAGUCAAACUCCCUAAAAACUAAGAUUGUUCCCUGGAGCUAGAAAGAGGCGUCCCUUCCAGUUCUGUGGUGACAGUGAGACCCGCAGCCCAGGAGAGGCCUCUGGGGAGUGUUCUCCUGGGGAGCCAGGCCCACCUCUGAGCUGCUGGGGUGAAACCCCCUUUUGGGAACUUGGCCCAGAUACUUCCUCUAUUUACCAAUGAGAUUGGGGGCCCAGUUUGGUGGGAGAAAAGCCCAUCUCCUACUGGUCCCAGCACCCGCAGGGCUGGGCCAUGACCUCAGUGACCUCAGGCUCAUCUGCCAGGCGUUCAGGGCCCGUCAGGGGCUGUCUGUCCACCUCUCUCUACAGUGCUUUACACCCAGAGUUGGCUUGACAGCACCUUGGUCCCCAGGCUGUGCCUGCAGGCUGGGGAGCAUUCUGAGAGUUCCCAUCUUUUGCAUUUCUGUGGUUCCAGUGAUGAUCAAUACCUGUUACAUAUUGGCCAAUCUGAACUGAGUCCUUCCACCACUCAGCUCUCCAUUCUAACCCAAACAGCACUCACAAGAGAAUCUUCACCCAGAGGACGUUGUGAGGGAGAUGAAGAAGGGCUCGGGCAGCCAGGGCAAGGUGGUGAGUGGGUCAGAACCAAGGAGCAUGGAGAGGGUCUUCGGAUGAGGUCAACUUCCUGCUUGAUGAAAGCGCCCGGGGACACAAGUGGGGGACCCAACCAGACAGACACUUCCGUACUCCUGCUCCUAAGUGGGGAUCCAACAGAAAAACUAAAACAGACGCAAGGACAGAGGGGACACCAAUCAAUAAUAGUGAGGAGCACGUGGACAGGGGAGGAGGAACUUCCAGAGACUCAAAACUCCCCCACUGGACCCCCAGCUGUGGGGCCCCUUCUCUUAGCAGAAGUCUCUGUCGCUUUUGCAAUAAACCCACUUCUUGCUUGUA